UACAGAGGGUGCGAGCGUUGUCCGGAAUCACUGGGCGUAAAGGGCGCGUAGGCGGCUUGAUAAGCGUGCGGUGAAAGCCCGGGGCUCAACCCCGGGUCGGCCGUGCGAACUGUCGAGCUGGAGCACUGUAGAGGCAGGUAGAAUUCCGGGUGUAGCGGUGGAAUGCGUAGAGAUCCGGAAGAACACCGGUGGCGAAGGCGGCCUGCUGGGCAGUGGCUGACGCUGAGGCGCGACAGCGUGGGGAGCAAACAGG
rnacentral:rRNA from 1 species